rnacentral:rRNA from 1 species
UACGUAGGGUGCGAGCGUUGUCCGGAAUUAUUGGGCGUAAAGAGCUCGUAGGCGGUGUGUCACGUCGGCCGUGAAAACCUGGGGCUUAACUCUGGGCGUGCGGUCGAUACGGGCAUCACUAGAGUUCGGCAGGGGAGACUGGAAUUCCUGGUGUAGCGGUGAAAUGCGCAGAUAUCAGGAGGAACACCGGUGGCGAAGGCAGCUCGCUGGAACGUUACUGACGCUGAGACGCGAAAGCGUGGGGAGCAAACAGG